UACGGAGGGGGCCAGCGUUGUUCGGAAUCAUUGGGCGUAAAGGGCGCGUAGGCGGCUUUUUAAGUCAGGGGUGAAAUCCUGGAGCUCAACUCCAGAACUGCCUUUGAUACUGGGAAGCUUGAGUCCGGAAGAGGUGAGUGGAACUCCGAGUGUAGAGGUGAAAUUCGUAGAUAUUCGGAAGAACACCAGUGGCGAAGGCGGCUCACUGGUCCGGUACUGACGCUGAGGUGCGAAAGCGUGGGGAGCAAACAGG
rnacentral:rRNA from 1 species